rnacentral:rRNA from 1 species
UACAGAGGUCUCAAGCGUUGUUCGGAUUCAUUGGGCGUAAAGGGUGCGUAGGCGGCGCGGUAAGUCGGGUGUGAAAUCUCGGGAGCUUAACUCCGAAACUGCAUUCGAUACUGCCGUGCUUGAGGACUGGAGAGGAGACUGGAAUUUACGGUGUAGCGGUGAAAUGCGUAGAUAUCGUAAGGAAGACCAGUGGCGAAGGCGGGUCUCUGGACAGUUCCUGACGCUGAGGCACGGAAGGUCAGGGGGAGCAAACGGG